UACGGAGGGGGCUAGCGUUGUUCGGAAUUACUGGGCGUAAAGCGCACGUAGGCGGCUUUGUAAGUUAGAGGCGAAAGCCCGGGGCUCAACUCCGGAAUUGCCUUUAAGACUGCAUCGCUAGAAUUGUGGAGAGGUAAGUGGAAUUCCGAGUGUAGAGGUGAAAUUCGUAGAUAUUCGGAAGAACACCAGUGGCGAAGGCGACUUACUGGACAGAUAUUGACGCUGAGGUGCGAAAGCGUGGGGAGCAAACAGG
rnacentral:rRNA from 1 species